GAUGGUGUAGCUCAGUGGCAGAGCGUGCGCUUAGUAUGCAUGGGGUCCUGGGUUCAAUCCCCAGUCCCUCCA
rnacentral:tRNA from 1 species